rnacentral:rRNA from 1 species
AGCGAACGCUGGCGGCAGGCCUAACACAUGCAAGUCGAGCGCCGUAGCAAUACGGAGCGGCAGACGGGAGAGUAACACGUGGGAACGUGCCCUUCAGUUCGGAACAACCCAGGGAAACUUGGGCUAAUACCGGAUAAGCCCUUACGGGGAAAGAUUUAUCGCUGAAGGAGCGGCCCGCGUCUGAUUAGCUUGUUGGUGAGGUAACGGCUCACCAAGGCGACGAUCAGUAGCUGGUCGAGAGGAUGAUCAGCCUCACUGGGACUGAGACACGGCCCAGACUCCUACGGGAGGCAGCAGUGGGGAAUAUUGGACAAUGGGCGCAAGCCUGAUCCAGCCAUGCCGCGUGGAUGAUGAAGGCCCUAGGGUUGUAAAGUCCUUUCGGCGGGAAGAUAAUGACGGUACCCGC